GAAUGCUAUUUCUUUUCAGUAAGACCUGCUCAAUGAUCUUUAAAUAGCCGCAAUUUUGUGCUAAGGUAGCAUAAUCACUUGCCUUAUAAUUAAAGGCUAGAAUGAAAGGUUUAACAUGAUAACUUCUUUAUAAAUAAGAAUUCUUGAAUUUUACUUAUAAGUAAAAAGGCUUAUAUUCUUUAGGAGGACGACAAGACCCUGACGAGCUUUACUUACUUAGUUGCACUGGGGUGGUAAAAAACUAAAUCUUUAUUUCUCCUUUUCUCUUUAGCCUUUUUAUAAGAUACCAAGUUACCGCAGGGAUAACAGCAUAAUUUUUUUCUAGAGACCUUAUCUAAAAGAAAGAUUGUGACCUCGAUGUUGAAUUAAUU
rnacentral:rRNA from 1 species